rnacentral:lncRNA from 1 species
CAAAAAUCACGUAGGUAAAACUGAUGCCUAUGUGCGCUGGGGGAGCUGGCAGAAGCGACUGCCAAAGAGCUCUCUAUCGUUCUUUUUACUCUCCUAGAUGAAGGUUGCCUGAGGACCGACGGAGAGCCAACGUCACCGCAGUCUUGAGAAAGAGCAAGAAGGAUGGCCUGCGCAACUUUGCUCAGAGAUAUUUGUAAGGAGCAGCCACGGUGGAUUCAGCAAGGGGAAGCGAUGUCAGACUGAGCUGGGUGAGUGCCACAGCAGAGCAUUCAGCAGCGAGGAUCAGCCUGGAGUUGUGAGCCCUCUGACUGGUCUGCCCUGCGUUUUGCAGAGUUGUUGCUGCAGGUUCAGAGUGGGCAUUCUCUUGGUGCGACUCUGGAGUGAGGUGAGCAGUGUCCUUGUGUCCCCAAACAGUGUGUGGUGCCCCUGGGUGACAGAACUCCUUUUGCGUGAGAAGGUGAUGGCACCUCCAUUCUCCAGGGGUAGGCUUGAUGGAGGGAGGGUGCCAAAUGCUGCCUGCAGGAGUUGGUGCUUUGUUCCCUCAGGUGCUGCUGCAGCUGGUGUCCUCACUGGAUUGGUGCGUGCU